AGUUUCCAUGGUGUAAUGGUGAGCACUCUGGACUCUGAAUCCAGUGAUCCAAGUUCAAAUCUCGGUGGGACUU
rnacentral:tRNA from 1 species